rnacentral:rRNA from 1 species
UACGGGGGGGGGCAAGCGUUGUUCGGAAUUACUGGGCGUAAAGGGCUCGUAGGCGGCCAACUAAGUCAGACGUGAAAUCCCUCGGCUUAACCGGGGAACUGCUCUGAUACUGGAUGGCUUGAGUUUCGGGAGAGGGAUGCGGAAUUCCAGGUGUAGCGGUGAAAUGCGUAGAUAUCUGGAGGAACACCGGUGGCGAAGGCG